rnacentral:piRNA from 1 species
UGUCACUAAAGGCCAGGCAGCCUGGGAUG